GAUGAACGCUGGCGGCGUGCCUAAUACAUGCAAGUCGAGCGAACGGACGAGAAGCUUGCUUUUCUGAUGUUAGCGGCGGACGGGUGAGUAACACGUGGAUAACCUACCUAUAAGACUGGGAUAACUUCGGGAAACCGGAGCUAAUACCGGAUAAUAUUUUGAACCGCAUGGUUCAAAAGUGAAAGACGGUCUUGCUGUCACUUAUAGAUGGAUCCGCGCUGCAUUAGCUAGUUGGUAAGGUAACGGCUUACCAAGGCAACGAUGCAUAGCCGACCUGAGAGGGUGAUCGGCCACACGGGAACUGAGACACGGUCCAGACUCCUACGGGAGGCAGCAGUAGGGAAUCUUCCGCAAUGGGCGAAAGCCUGACGGAGCAACGCCGCGUGAGUGAUGAAGGUCUUCGGAUCGUAAAACUCUGUUAUUAGGGAAGAACAUAUGUGUAAGUAACUGUGCACAUCUUGACGGUACCUAAUCAGAAAGCCACGGCUAACUACGUG
rnacentral:rRNA from 1 species